rnacentral:tRNA from 1 species
GCCUGGGUGGCUUGGUUGGUUAAGCGUCUGACUUCAGCUCAGGUCAUGAUCUCACGGUCCGUGAGUUCGAGCCCCGCGUCAGGCU